AAUAAUCUAUCACACUUUUUAUAUAUAAUAAUAAUAAUAAUAAUAGGAAGAAGAAGAAGAAGAAUAGUGACUGUGCCUGGCUAUUAAAAGUUGCUUUGAACAACAAAAUCAAAAGCAAAGCAGAAGUUCUAAAUUCUAAGUUCUAAAGCACAUGCGCGCACACACGCGCGCGCACACACAAACACACAGGUACAGCAAUAUAUCGCUAUAUUAUGACUCACUACUUACACGGUAAUAAAUGUUCGAAUUAACUUUAACAUAAACAUUAGAAGAACAGAGAACGGCGAGAUUUUUACAUCCCGUAACGUUUGAGUCGAUUAUAUUUAAAGAACACUGAGAUUUCCAGAGUCGAAUUAAGAAGUGUUAUAUUAAUAAAGAUUUCAAAUCUCAGAAGAACACUGGACACGAAGUUUCAUCAGCAUGUGAAAGUGCAGGACCUGUUCAGAACCUGGAGAAGGAGUGAACAUGACUCUGAUUCAUGAACACACUCACAGAUCCGUCUUUCUGCCAUCGUGUCACUUAAAUCCAGAGCCCUGACGAUAACACGCGAGAAGACGUGAAGAUCAGUCGUCGUGAAAUAAAUUGCGGAAGUGCUGCAGCGCGAGCUCGCACGCGAUUGGCUGU